UUGGUGCGCAUUUAAUACGCGGAUAACUUAAGAGUUGUAGUUUGUUUGUAUCGCUGCAGUUUGUUGGCAGUGGAUACCCAAGAUAGUGUAGAAUGUAUUUACGCUAAUGCUUAGAUGCCAAGCUUAUUUUUACAGCAGUGUUUAGGCUGUUCCGGACUGUCGGGUGCCGUUGAGGUUGACGGUGGACCCAGAUUACUGUAUUUGCAUCAGAUUGUGCCGAGA
rnacentral:lncRNA from 1 species